rnacentral:rRNA from 1 species
AUUGAACGCUGGCGGCGUGCCUAACACAUGCAAGUCGAGCGGUAACGCGGGGGCAACCCUGGCGACGAGCGGCGGACGGGUGGAGUAAUGCUUGGGAAUCUACCCAGUAGUAGGGGAAGUAACCAGUCGAAAGAUUGGCUAAUUCCGCAUACGCCUCCUCUUCAUACCGAGGAGAAGGGAAAGCGGGGGACCGUAAAGGCCGUCGCGCUAUCGG